rnacentral:rRNA from 1 species
UACAGAGGUCUCAAGCGUUGUUCGGAUUCAUUGGGUUUAAAGGGUGCGUAGGCGGGUUAUUAAGUCAGUGGUGAAAGCCUACAGCUUAACUGUAGAAUUGCCAUUGAUACUGAUGAUCUUGAGUAUGAUUGAGGUGGGCGGAAUGUGUCAUGUAGCGGUGAAAUGCUUAGAUAUGACACAGAACACCGAUUGCGAAGGCAGCUCACUAAGUCAUAACUGACGCUGAUGCACGAAAGCGUGGGGAGCAAACAGG